UCCACUGACAGCCUCUGCGUCUCGCUCUAGUACAACAGAGGCAUGCUGUAAAGGACAGUAACAGCUUCACACUCUCUAAGACAGAGUUUCCAACUGUCAUGAAUACAGAACUGGCUGCCUUCACAAAGAACCAGAAGGACCCCGGUGUCCUUCACCACAUGAUGAAGAAACUAGACCUCAACUCUGAUGGGCAGCUAGAUUUCCAAGAAUUUCUUAAUCUUGUCAGUGGCUUGACAUUAGCUUACCUUUAAGCGUUCCCAGAAAUC